GCAUACCAAUUAUUGGCCAAUUAAUUGGUACAAAUUCAUCUCUAUUGCGUCUCCAAUAGUAGAUGUAUAGGAAGAUUAGGAUGGUUAGAAACCCUCCAAUACACUGAAUUAUUGACAUUGUAGUUUUAUUACAGUGUAUGUUUGCAAAUUGCAUGUGUCUUUCAUGCAUGCUUAUAAAAUGUGUACAAGCAUUACCCUUAUAUAGCCUUUGGUGCAUUAACAAAACUAACCACUUCCGAUUGUACUUAGAACAAUUUUUUAUCUAACAGGAACAGGAUUCCCUAAUUAUAGCGGUCUAAUCACAAUUGAAAGGUUAGGAUUGUUUUAACUAAAAACACAAUUUUCAAUCUCAACCAUUUGUUCUGAGAUGAACAGUUGAGAUUGAAAACUGCGUGUUAAUUUUACAGUCAUUUUUUAAAUCAGAGAAUAAUUCAACACGGUAACCAAAAUUGUCAUUUUAUAAAAUUAUCUAAAACAUUUUAAUUAAAUCCGUGCAUAACAUUAAACACUCAAAAAAAAAUUAAACAGCACGAUAACUCUGUACAGACAUUUGCAAUGGACCACACUCCGUGAUCCCAAAUUCUAUCCACAUGAACUAUCCACUCUCAAUCUCAUGCGGCGUUCCUGUGUGCCUCGGCUGUGGGCUGGUCUGUUUCUAUGUUUGGAGCUGCUGUCAUGACAGAACAGAUGCGGGGGGUGCUGUUUUUUCUGCAUAAUGCGCAGCUGUUUGUUGUUGUUAUGGCUGUGACAGGUGCUGUUUGGAUGGGAGCUUCACAGGUGCUGGCUUGGGUUGGUUAGAGGCAUAGCUAUGGGCCUGAACUUUGGUUUGAUCAGUCAAAUUUCAGAGCCAUAAUUUCAGCCUUGAGGGUUGCUGUUGUUCUUUUUGGUGCUGGUUUGCCGUUUCGUUUUGGACGUGGUAAACUAGUUUUACCGGGUGGAUGUUACGCCUAUAUGCGGCUUCCUUGUAAUAUUUCCCUCUCCGCCUCUUUGCGCCUUGCGAGAGUUUAGGGUUUAGGGUAAUUAGUUUUGAAAGGAAGGACAUAUAUGCCUAUUAUUACAACUAUGCCUUCUUUUCAAUCUUCAAUAAAGCAUACACCACGUGCCUAUUUUUUUUGGAAUAAUAGUGUCCUCCGCUAAAAAAUUAUAACAAUUAUAUUUAACCAUCUUAUAUUCAUAUACAUUCAUUUAAUAUCUCUUCUUUUUUCUUAAUAAGUUAAAAUGAUAUAUAUUAACCAGAAAUUUUAAACUUAUAUUAGAAUAUAAAAUAUUCGUCCUCGUGAGCUUAGCUCAAAUGGUAUGGACAAUGCAUAAAAUAUACAAGGUCGGGGUUCGAACCCCGACCACCACAAAAAAAAAAAAAAAGAAUAUAAAAUAUUCAUUGUAUAAAUUAUUAGAUAUUAUUUAGAGAAAAUUGAGGACCAAGUUAAAGAUACUUAAUGUCCAAGAUACUUGAUGCCCAAGUUAGAGAUAGUUGAGGUCGAAGACAAUAUCAUUUUAUAAAUAUACAUUACAACAUAAUGAAACAUAUGAGACAUAAUUCUAUUAUGGUAUCACGAAUCUAUCUCCCUUAGCAACCCUAAUUUCCUCCCUCUUCUAAACCCUAGCCGCGCCGCCUCCGGCCUCCCUUCUGAUUUUCUUCUCCAACAAAAAAGCCAAAAACAACCACAACCGAUCCUCUGGUUGUCAAAACCAACACUCCCUCCAUUCAUCAUGCUCCUUAUUGCAAGGUCGGACGUCGUGACCCGGAUUCAAACCUAGAACCUCACAGUUGUAUGUGAGUUUAAUUUUAUUGGAUUACCACUUCAUCUAAGACAAAAAAAGGACAAUCUUGUAAAAUAACUCAUAAUACAUCAAUUAAGGUAUGAUUUCUUAAUACUUGUCCAAUGAUAGUUGGCCAAAACCACUUAUACCUUGGGGGACAGAUGAAGUAAUUAUGAUUACGAAGGAACUAGUUUUUUUUUUUUUUGAGCAAACGAAGGAACUAGUUAAUGACAGUUAACUACUAACUCCUAAUUACGCUACGCCUAUGGAAAUGCCGCUUUGUAUUAAAACUCAAAUCAACACUGAAAGUGAUUAGUGGUUAAAAGAUUUCUUUAUUUGGAAAAUGGAGUAUCGAUUAUGCAACGGUGUUUCAAUAAAUUAGUAAAUAUUUUGACCAUGAUUUAACUCAUCAUGGUUCGUUCGCUUUCAUUUUGUUAGCUGUUACUCUAUUAAUUAUUACGUUAAUCAGUUUGUUGACAACUAAUUAUCAUAUUGCUAUUGCCAUAUAUGGUUCAGUUGCUAAACUGUUAUUGUGUUUAUUAAGCUAACUAGUUAAAAAAUUAUCUGAAAAGAUUUCAACAAUGGCAUAAAUGACGGUGGCAGUUUAGUGGAAGAACACUGCGUUAAUCAAUUCAAAAAUAUUGGCUUUUAGCUUAAUUGCACUUUUGGAUCCCUAUCUUUUAAAAAGUUGCGGUUAUGACCCCCUAACUAAUUUAAAUACAAAACAGCCCCCUAUGUUUUGAUUCUUUGACAGUUUUGGACCCCUAGUCCAUUGUUGACUUGGUCGUUGCUGACGUGGCACCCACAUCUCAUUAGUGAGGUGUAUUAUUUUAUUAUUAUUUGUUUUUUUAAAUUCAUGCAGGCAUUUUUAAAUUGGAAGAAAUUAAAAAUAAAAAAAAGGAAAACCAAUUAGGGUUUAAAAACCCCCAAUUUCCCAAAUCUGCAAAUCCACCUCAAUCCACCUUCUUCUCCAAUCGUUGUCCUUGUUCGAUUUCCUCCUCAAAUCAAGUUCGAUUUCCUCCUCCUUCUUGUCCAAUCGUUGUCCUUGUUUCUUUCUUCUCAAAUCGAUUUCGAUUUCGUUCUGGCCUUCUGUUUGUUCACCUGACUCACAUAACUACACAAGAAGCUCAGUUUUUGUUGGAAACCAAAAAUGGUUGAAUAUUUAUCUUCAUCGGUUAAUGGGUCAACAUUGAAGCACAGUUACAAACAUUAAAUGUUUAAAAAUUAACAGAUCCAUAGGUUUGUUCACACGUAACACUUCAUAGCUUGCACUUUGAGCCUUCUCUGGAGAUUAAAAGAUCCAUAGAUAUUAACAUUAGUAUAUUUUAUUGCAGGGUAUGAGAUGCCCAGCAAAUACACAUAAACAAAGUUUUCAUGUGAACACCAGUAUAAUGUUGAAACAAAAUCCUGGCAAAGGAACUAGCUCUUCAACUCAAAGGGGUGGGCAGGUGCCAACUCCUAAUAUGCCAACACCUAAUUUUGAAGAAACCAUGACUGAGGAAGAAUUUGUCGAGUGGUUAAAGAAUGCAACAGAAAGCCCAUCCCCCAAAUCUGGAAAUGGGAUGAAAAAUCCUGGCACUAGCGUUGGUAGCGGCAGCAAAAGAAAGAAAAAAAAGGAAAAAAGCAUUAAACAGAUCAUGUUUAAACAUACUAGUAACAUUGCCUUGUUGUGCACUUUGAAGGCUUGAAAAGCAUUAGUUCACGUGCUUUCUAUUUUUAUUUUCCUCUUUUUUUUAUUUUUUCCAAUUUAAAAAUAACAUGAUGAAUUAAAAAAAGUAAAAAAAUAAAUAAAUACACGUGGCACCUCACUAAUGGGAUGUGGGUGCCACGUCAGCAACGACCAAGUCAAUAAUAGAUUGGGGGUCCAAAAUUGUCAAAGAAUCAAAAUAUAAGAGAUUGUUUUGUAUUUAAAUUAGUUAGGGAACCAUAACCGCAACUUUUGAAAAGAUAGGAGUCCAAAAAUGCUGAUGCUGAUGCCGUUGUUUUUGCUGACCACACUUCAUUACAUUUGUGUUCAACCAAUCUUCCUGUAAAUGUUAUGCGCUCUCUAAAAUUUGACUACAUGUCUUGUCUUAGUAACCUGCUGACACACUUUCAUAGUUUCUUGUUCCCUCUCUUCCACAUACUCUAAGUGCUACUCGCAAACCACAGUAACCUACCUGGUGGCAAUGCAUUAGAUUAAAGAGUGCCUUCAAGAACUAGGUGUAAUAAUUUUUUUGAAGAAAAAACUAUAUUUUUUAAUAUAAAAUAUAUAUUUUUUGUUUUGUUAACCGGUGCUCUCAUAAGGCACUAAUUAGCUUGACUCUUAAAUUAGAAGUCGAAAGUAACGUCCAUUUAAAAAAAAAAAAUGCAAAUGUAUCAUUAUUGCUGGGAUGAAGAUCAGUAAAAAAAAAAUUCCUGAGAUGAAGGUAGCAGGCUUGAUCGGGUCAUGGUAUAUGAUGGUUGGUUUCGACUGCUGGGGGUCGACAAGUAUGUGGGCUUUUGAUAGAGAAGUUUUUGAUCAAUGUCCUUUGACGUUGAAGUACUCUAGUCAUCUAUGAGGUCCCAAAAAUUUUAGCCGGGGAGAAAAAUUAAAGAGAAUGUAUUAUUAAAUCAUGAUCUGAAUAUUUUACUUUGGAGGAAGUGGACUGUAUUAUUAAAUCAUGUUCAAAUUUAUGGGUUUUAUUACAAUAAGAUUACAUUACAACACGGUUUGUGUUCAAUCCCAUAAUGUUUCAAAUAUUGCAAGCUAUUGGCCUAUUUGCUGGAGCAGUCAUAAAUGAUCUUUAUCUACACUUGAAGCAAAUCAUAAAUGGUCAUUACCAAUAACCAUUAUUGUCAAAAUCCCAACUUAAAUUCUAAAAUCGAGGAUUUUACGACUUUCUUCACGUUCAACGACUCAAAUCCAUAGUAGAAUCCUAAAAUAGGCAAAAACCAUCGAUUUUGAUUGCGAUUUUACAAUUUCUUAUAAACCAAGUCAUUUAUGACUAUAUACCAUUUGUAACAUAUAUUUAGUAUUUAUUUUUUGGGUAAAAUCCAUCGAUUUUGAUUGCGAUUUUAAGAUUUCUUAUAUCGAUUCUACAAAUGUCCUUGAGUAAAAUCCUUUGAUUUUGAUUGCGAUUUUACGAGUUCCGAUUUUGCCAUUCCCUUUCGACUUGAAGUAAAGUCCCGAUUUUGACAACCUUGCCCAUAACUUCAAAAUAUAAACUUAAUUCAACUUGAAGUAGUUUAUUACAUCGACAUAUAAUUUCUAAAAUAGAGAAUAACAUAACCAGACCAUGAUAAGAACUUCAAAAUAUAACCACAGUCCAACUUAAAGCAGAUUAUUACAUAGACACAUAAUUUCCAAAAUAGAGAAUAACAUAACAAUGUUUAACAAAAGACAAAGAGCAACAAUUACACUGGGUUAUAAGAUACAACAUGUAGCACCAAUAGUUCGAGAGACUUCCGUUAAAUGCAUCUUUUAGUGACUUUGACCUUCAAGCCAUGUUUCAUGUGAAGAACAAAAGAAAGCUUCGGGGUUAUAGGGUGACCUUCCACCACCUGUAUGUGAAACUUCGGUAACAAAGCAGCUGCGACCAUCUUCAUUUGAAUGAAGCUAAUAUCCUUACCCAUACAACUUCUAGGUCCUGAUUGAAAGCUAUGAACUUGUAAGAUGGUACAUGUAUAAUGUGUCCUCUCUCUGACACCCAUCUCUCAGGCUUAAAUUCCAUGCAGUCUUCUCCCCAUAUUUGUUCCAUCCUUCCCAUAGCGUACAAAGAGUACAAUAACCUUGUAUUUGGACUAAAACGCUCUCCACUAGGAAGUAUAUCGGAUUUGAUUGAACAUAUAUGCUCAAAAGGUACAGGAGGAUAAAGCCUCAAGGUUUCACAUAUAGCUCCAUGGAGGUACACUAGCUUAUCAAGAUACUCAUCUCUCGAAGGAAUCUGAUUCUCCUCUUGUGUAGGACAGUUAUCUUUGAUUUCUUGAAUUAUUUUGGCUUCCACAAUAGGAUGAGUGGAAACAAGCCAGAAAAACCAACUGAGAGCUGAACUAACUGGGCCAUUUCCUGCUAAAAAGAGAGUGAUUACAUUGUCUCUAAGAUACUUCUCAUCCAUUUCCCCCUUUCCAGAUCCUUCCUUCGUUAGUGCUUUUAGGAAGUCAUCCAUCUCUUCACUGCUGCUGCACUUGCAUUGCUCUUGCUUGGAAAACGUAAUACUUUCAUACAAGAACCUGUCAAGAUUUUCUUCGGCUUCCCUUAGCUUCCUUUCAUGACCAACGUUGAGCCAUUUUUGCAGCUUCCAUAGAUAACUUGGUAUGAAGUGUCGGUAAAUUAUCACCUCAUCCAUCACAGGAAGAGAUUUUUGAUAAGCAAUAUCCCUAAGCUCAUUAAACUUGUUUGGAAGGCAAUUAGGAUCAAAUCCAAAUGCAAUAGUGCAGAUGCUGUCAAAAGUGAACCUACUAAAGACAUCCUCCAGGUCCACAUGAGCACCUAUUUCAGAUACAUCAUUAAGAAACGGUAGUAGGCACUUCUCCAGCUUUUUCUUCAUAGUUUGUUGGAAGAAAUUCAUGAAGGUUUUCCUUUUGAGAUAUGAAUUAAACAUUGCCCUCUGUUGUUUCCAUACGUCGGGAUGAGAAUUUAAAAUACUACCUUGAAAAAAAUAAAAAAUAUCUUGGAAGUUGGACCCCCUUCCGUAAUUGCUAAAAUUCUUGCUCGCAAUGUGAUUAACAUUCAUUGGAUCACUGGUACCGAUAAAGCCAGUGUUUGUGAACCAGGCUCCUUCAAAUCGAAACGUUCCUCCAUGAUGUUUUAAAACUAAGGUUGUAUGAUCAUGGAAAUUGGACAGGUGACGCAAAAGCGCUGGUAGCAUACCAAUUAUUGGCCAAUUGAUUGGUAAAAUUUCAUCUCUAUUACGUCUCCGACAGUAGAUGUAUAGGAAGAUUAGGAUGGCUACAAACACUACAAAAAAACAAAAAUUAGUGAGGGAAAUUUAGUGAGGGAAAACAUAAAAUCUCUUUCUAAUUCCGUCACUAAAUUUUGCGACCAAGGAAUUUGUGAUGAAUUUUAUGUUUUCCGUCACAAAUUUCCCUCCUUAAUUUUGCUUUUCCUAGUAGUGAAAUCCUCCAAUACACUGAAUUAUAGACAUUGAAGAUUUACUAAAGGGUAUGUUUAUAAAUUGCAUGUGUCUUUCAUGCAUGCUUAUAAAAUGUGUACAUGCUUUACACUUAUAUAGCCUUUACUGCGUGAAGAAACGUAACCACUUGACAUUGUUAG
rnacentral:lncRNA from 1 species